GGAUUGACACAUCGGUCGUGCCUUAAGGGGUAUGAACUGGUGUAGUCAAUUUCUCACCUUCUGGAGAACCGCGAUGCCCUUAAUUGGGUGUCGCGGGGAACCAGGACCUUUACUUUGAAAAAAUUAGAGUGUUUAAAGCAGGCAUUUUGCUUGAAUACAUUAGCAUGGAAUAAUAAAAUAGGACGGAUGGUUCUAUUUUGUUGGUUUCUAGGAUCACCGUA
rnacentral:rRNA from 1 species